UACGGAGGAUGCGAGCGUUAUCCGGAUUUAGUGGGUUUAAAGGGUGCGCAGGCGGAUUUUUAAGUCAGCGGUCAAAUCGUGGGGCUCAACCCCAUCCAGCCGUUGAAACUGGGGAUCUAGAGUGUGCGAGAGGUAUGCGGAAUGCGUGGUGUAGCGGUGAAAUGCAUAGAUAUCACGCAGAACCCCGAUUGCGAAGGCAGCAUACCGGUGCACAACUGACGCUCAGGCACGAAAGCGUGGGUAUCGAACAGG
rnacentral:rRNA from 1 species